CAGAGACCUUGCUCUCUGACAGAUGGCAGAGAAGAGGAAGGAAUAAAAAUUUCAGCAUCUGCUGAUAUGAUAUACAAUAAGCCAAAGCACCACCUAAGAACACUCAAAGCUGAGACCAUCUUCAUCCUGCCUCUCCCCACCAUCGGCUCCAUGCUCCUCUGCUGUGUGAUCUUCUGUCUCCUGGGAACGGGCUCCAUGGAUACUGGUGUUACCCAGACCCCAAGAAAUAGGAUCGCAAACACAGGAAAGAGCACUGUACUGGAAUGUUCUCAGACUAAGGACCAUGAGUCCAUGUACUGGUAUCGACAAGACCCAGGGCAGGGGCUCCGGCUGAUCUACUCCUCCUAUGGUAUCAAUGAUAUUAACAAAGGAGAUGUCUCUGAUGGGUACAAUGUCUCUCGUAAGGAGAAGGCAAAAUUCUCCCUCUACCUAGAGCCUGCUACCCCCAACCAGACGGCCAUUUACUUCUGUGCCAGCAAUAUUUGCACAGUGCUUCCUGGCCACCUGCUCUCUACACAGAAAGACCGCUGUGUUUGCUUGGAAGGGCACACAGACUUCCUUGAUGUGCGGUGUGGGUUCCUUAGAGGUUGUUUCUAUGCUGUGUGAGCCCCAGUCUGAACUUAGGGCCACCUUGGGUCAGUGUCCCCAGGCCAUGGGGUGACUCCUAAACCCCAGCCUAGACUGAUCCUACCUCCCCUGCCUACUGAACCUCUUUUUUUUUUUUUUUUUUCUAGUGGUAGUGGCCAGCCCAAUACUGUUC